GGGUUGUGAGGUUAAGCGACUAAGCGUACACGGUGGAUGCCCUGGCAGUCAGAGGCGAUGAAGGACGUGCUAAUCUGCGAUAAGCGUCGGUAAGGUGAUAUGAACCGUUAUAACCGGCGAUUUCCGAAUGGGGAAACCCAGUGUGAUUCGUCACACUAUCAUUAACUGAAUCCAUAGGUUAAUGAGGCGAACCGGGGGAACUGAAACAUCUAAGUACCCCGAGGAAAAGAAAUCAACCGAGAUUCCCCCAGUAGCGGCGAGCGAACGGGGAGGAGCCCAGAGCCUGAAUCAGUGUGUGUGUUAGUGGAAGCGUUUGGAAAGGCGCGCGAUACAGGGUGACAGCCCCGUACA
rnacentral:rRNA from 1 species